CUUUGAAAUGCCAGCGUAUGAGUACCGUACAUCUGGCGUACCUCUAGCGUAUUCAGUGUGUGCCUAGAGUAUGCUUAUCGUAUAAAGCAUACGUCCGAUACGCACAAAAUUUUUGAGCAUGCUUAAAAAAUAUUUUCUUCCUCGCCGUAUGCCAGCGUAUGCCACCGUACGCGACCGUGCUUGAAACGUAUACAACCUAUGCCUAACGUACCCC